UUCAAAAACAAAGCAAUGGGAUGCGACUUUGUGGGCUCGUCGGUCGACAUUGGCGGCAAUGCAUUGCCAGUCGCAUUUUUACGGUUGAAGCGGUAAGAACUCUUGUGCAAGCCGUUGGGAGAGAAAAUAAAUACUGAGCAUGUUUUGGAAAAGUUCGCUCUUAGUUGGGCAUUCAUUGUGUAGGCUUGCCGAUCCAAGUAUUCAAACUACAGCUAUAAAGGAGCAUAAUAUAAGUUAUCAAAAACCAAAAAUGUCAACGUUUUGAGGAAUUGCUUUUUGGAGGAGUCAAUGCUGGUUACAGUUUUGCCGUCGGCAUAAAAUGGUUUUCAUGCUAUGUGUAACAGACGCUCCUGAUUCGUUGCAACAGCGCCACAACAUUGCAGAGAAAAAUGUAGCAGUGAAAUAUGCAUUUGGUUUCAACAAUUGUGGGCUUAAAGUUACAUUUACAAAUGGAAUAUCAUUUUACUUAACGAAAACGUGUUUUUAGUGAUUUUGAAGUUUUUGUGCAAUACUAGAGGGAGAAAAGAAUUUGAUUACGACUGAUAAAAUUAUUUUUGAAGACUAUAGCAAAGUUGUGAGCUUACAGCAAAUAGUAAAGACUCGAUUUUGGAAUCAAAUGUAUGACUUACUUCGAUUUAAAAAUUAAGUUGAUAUAAAAUAAAUUUUCUUUAUGUGUGCAUUGUGUUCA
rnacentral:lncRNA from 1 species